GCCUGGGUGGCUCAGUCAGUUGAGCAUCUGACUUCGGCUCAGGUCGUGAUCUCAUGGUUCGUGGGUUUGAGCCCUGCAUCAGGCU
rnacentral:tRNA from 1 species